GUAAACCAAGGUUAUAAUUAACUAUUGGAGAUUUUCUUACCACAGUAACCUAUAUUACUGUCAUACCUCUAACACAGACACACUUUGCUCCAGUGUAAGGAAAUGAAUUUCACAGUGUUGUACCACAACAUAUUUUUUGGCUAACUAUUUUGGCCUGAUAUCCUUCAUUCAAGUUUGAACUGGCGCGGUGAAAUGGACCUUCCAACCUCUCUCUCAUUAUCAUUCAGUUUUCAUCUCUAUCUCUCUCUCUCUCUCUCUCUCUCUCUCUCUCUCUCUCUCUUGCUUCAAAAAGCAAAUGUCACUCAUUUCCCGUCUGGCUCGCGAAUCCGGAGUGUUGUAGCUUAGCAACCGCCUCUGAUCCAUCAAAUGAAACAGGAAGGAAAAGCCGCCGUGUUCGUUAUUACAGCUUCAUGACUGAACAAGAGCCGCAUUAAACUACACCUUUUAAUCAACUAAAGGUGGAGUUUAAUGCAAAAGAUAACAAAAGUUUUUUUUCCCCCUAACCUUUUUUAAUGCACUGCCUAUUUCACGUUACCUAUUGUAACUUCGAAUUAGCUAGGUUCAGACUUCCGCCAUGGUUUUGAAGCUUAGCUUGGCACUGGACUUAUUUAUUUAUUUAUGUAUUUAUUUUUACCUUCUUCUCAAGUAUUAAUUAAAUUAAUUAUUAAUUACAAGUAAAAAUUAUAAACGCAAAAUAAAGGUUAAACUCACCUUUUAAUUCAACAUAAAAUAUUUGCCUUGUUUAACCUACCUGCGCCGUACAGAACCAAGCUGUUAAAUGUCAAUAAGGGAAAAUAAACGUUAAUUUACCUCAGGUCUGUCUUAACUAACAGUCUCGUUAGUGCUGUUGGAUAAGGGCCUAUGUUUCGACUUAUAAAAGCCUUCCUUUACAUUUUUGUAUUUUUUUUUCCAGACGGGCUAAAUCGGUUUUAAAUGUCUCAAGUUCAUAAAAGGUUGAUUAGACACCAAAAAAGUUGUGAAUACAAAUGCAGCAGCUUUUCUGUGCUACAAAUUUGAGCUUUAUAAAAUGUGGAGCACGGCCUGAGAUGCUGAAAGUCAAGGCCAAAAACACAAAGCAAGAGUACAGCGUUUGGGAGGCAGAGAACGAGCCGAGAGUGGGAGUAGGAAUAUGGGAUGAUGGAGGACUGAACUGAGAGCAGGUGAACACAGCUGUGGACCGCCGCCGGCUCUCUUCUUCCUCUCCUCCCUCUCUUCUUCCUCUCCUCAUGAGGCUCCGGCUCUGUGUCUCGGGGUCUCGGGGAGACAGCAGGGGCCGGCCAGGCUUCAACGGAGUGGGCAGCAGAGGCGGGCAGUUGCACCCACCGGGCACAGGCUCCUCAGCAGAGCAAUCAAUACGGAGGGAAGAGGCUGCCAGGGGUCGGGCGACGCAGCCCCGGGCCAUGGUGCCAAGGGAUCACAAGCGCUCAUCUCUCCCUUUACCAGUCAACUUGCAUCAGCCAAAGGCGGACCAUGUGUGAGAGCAAGAGUGUGUAUGUGUGUGUGUGGUUCUGCUGGAGGGACCUUCAGUCCCAACACCACUUGAUAAAACUUUGUCUGCGGGAGAAUGAACAGAAAAAGAGUGUCAAAGGUCUUUUUCCCUCUCCUCGAUUCCUUUUUUACUGUGAGUGCACAUUCCCAUCGACUGUUUGAAUGAGGGCUUGACGUACAAUCCCUCUUUCAGGCCCUCCUCCAAGCCUCUACAUCAGAUGAGCUGGCAAGAGAGGACAACUUGAACUUUUGUCUUUUUUGGACGACAUUUUUUCGCCUUUUCUGUUGUAGAUUAAAUUAGAUGAUUUUUUCAAAAUCCUCGCCACUGUUUGAGAGCUUCUAAAAAGGCUUUGGUUUUAAUCCACAUGAAGAGGCUUGGCACUCUUUUCUACAUACUUCAAUACUUCUGGACCUCCACAGUACCAGGUUUUAAUAAGAUGCCAUUCAGACGGAGUGCAAAGUUGGAGCUGAGCUCCAAACUAGGACCAAAAUGACUCAAUAAACUUUCCCAGUGUUUGUCACACACUGUUUUCAGUCAUUCCCUGAUCCAGAGCUGAUAAGGAAAGCUCCAUUUCCUUCCAUGAGACACAACGAACAUAGGUGAAUGGAGUGUGUAUGUUGCUAAAGGUAGUGCCAUGUCCCCAUGGAUUCUUUAAGGAAUGAAGUUUGCCAGGAGAUGAUGGAGUCUAAUCCUCUGAAAUGGAGUUAUGAGUGUUGUUCAGAGCCGCUCCCUGGAUGGUGUGUUUCAGAUCUGUAGCCCUGACCCAGUGCAGGAUGAAAACCAUGACGUCAAUGAUAUUUUACUGUCAAUGACUGCUUAAAGAAUUUAGCUUUUGCCCCUUUAAUACUGGUGAGUAUUUCAAUAAGGUAAGUUUCUGAUCAUAAUUUAACAGCAUAAAUAAAAAAAAUGCUGUGAUACUGCAUUCAUAUAAACUUUUCUGUUUGUUUGUUUGUUUGUUUAUUGGCACCUAGAGUAUAAAAAUAAACUUUGGGUUGCAGGUUUCUCAUCUAAAAAAUGUUUUUCGCUCUUUUUUUUUUUUUUUUACUAUAUUGUAACAUUUUUUUCAGUUGCAACAAGUACAUUUUUCCCAUUGGUAUGGUUUUGAUUGUAUCUAACCUGUAUGAUGUAUAGCACACUAUGGAAAUCUGAAACAUUUAUACACUUAAUAGAGUACUAUACAGCUACAGAUGACGAUAUCAUUUGCAGGCAUAUUUGCAUUUUUAAGAACAAACAUACAAGACGAAAAAGCACAACCUGCUCGUACAAAGCAUGAUAUCCUUAUAGCCAUACGUUAAUUAUAGCAUAAUCUCUGAUAUUUCUUGAAGCUGUAUACUAUUGUAUGAAUACUGUAAUAAUAAAUGAAUUAUGCAGAAUGAAUGAACAAUAAAAGUGAAACCUGAAUUUUUUCUGUGUUGUGUGUGUUUUUUAACUUACGUUUGUCCAAUACAAUAUAAAACUGUUUCUCAUUAUUAUUGACGGGGAUACAUAAAUAAAUGUUUAUUUCCAUGGGUAAACAAAUUAAUAUACACUACCGAUGAAAAGUUUAGACACACUCAUUCUUUAUUUUAAUUUGAAUUUUUCCACAUUUUAAAAUAAUAAUAAAGUCAUCAAAACUCUGGAGUAACACAAAUAGGAACUAUGGGAAUUAUGUUGUGAUAAAAAUAGAAUAAAUACAAAUAAUUUAAUAUUUGAGCAUCUUUAAAGAUGCCCUUUUUGCCUAGAAUCUCCAGAAAUGUAUUCUUGGCAUUUUCUCAACCGAUUUCUUGAGGAAUUUCCCAGAGAUGCGUUUUAACCAGUAUUAAAGGAGUUCACACCUACGCUGGACACUUAUUGGCUGCUUUCCGGAAUAUUUCGCUCCAAGUCAUCCAUUUAAACAA
ensembl:lncRNA